rnacentral:tRNA from 5 species
GGAGAGGUAGCGAAGUGGCCGUAACGCGCUCGACUCGAAAUCGAGUUAUCGGUUAGUAGCCGGUACGUGGGUUCGAAUCCCACCCUCUCCGCCA